CCUACGGGAGGCAGCAGUGAGGAAUAUUGGUGAAUGGACGAGAGUCUGAACCAGCCAAGUAGCGUGAAGGAUGACUGCCCUAUGGGUUGUAAACUUCUUUUAUAUGGGAAUAAAAUGUUCCACGUGUGGGAUUUUGUAUGUACCAUAUGAAUAAGGAUCGGCUAACUCCGUGCCAGCAGCCGCGGUAAUACGGAGGAUCCGAGCGUUAUCCGGAUUUAUUGGGUUUAAAGGGAGCGUAGGUGGAUUGUUAAGUCAGUUGUGAAAGUUUGCGGCUCAACCGUAAAAUUGCAGUUGAAACUGGCAGUCUUGAGUACAGUAGAGGUGGGCGGAAUUCGUGGUGUAGCGGUGAAAUGCUUAGAUAUCACGAAGAACUCCGAUUGCGAAGGCAGUUCACUGGACUGCAACUGACACUGAGGCUCGAAAGUGUGGGUAUCAAACAGGAUUAGAUACCCCUGUAGUC
rnacentral:rRNA from 1 species